UACGUAGGGUGCAAGCGUUAAUCGGAAUUACUGGGCGUAAAGCGUACGCAGGCGGCUGUGUAAGACAGGUGUGAAAUCCCCGGGCCUAACCUGGGAACUGCAUUUGUGACUGCAUAGCUAGAGUCUGUCAGAGGGGGGUGGAAUUCCACGUGUAGCAGUGAAAUGCGUAGAGAUGUGGAGGAACACCGAUGGCGAAGGCAGCACCCUGGGAUAAGACUGACGCUCAUGUACGAAAGCGUGGGGAGCAAACAGG
rnacentral:rRNA from 1 species